rnacentral:rRNA from 1 species
GUGAGUCAUCGAAUCUUUGAACGCAUCUUGCGCUCCUUGGUAUUCCGAGGAGCAUGCCUGUUUGAGUGUCAUCAAAAAUUCUCAACCAUGCUGGUUCUUCUGGCAUGGCUUGGAUUUGGGGGGGUCUGCAGGCUUUAAAGUCGGCUCCCCUGAAAAGGAUUAGCGGUAUCUGAGCAGACACGGCGUGAUAAUUAUCUAUGCUGUUGGCAUGCGCAAGAAUCCUGCUUCUAAACCCGAGUGUUGAAAAAUUUGACCUCAAAUCAGGUAGGACUACCCGCUGAACUUAAGCAUAUCAAUAAGCGGAGG